rnacentral:rRNA from 1 species
AACGAACGCUGGCGGCAUGCCUAACGCAUGCAAGUCGAACGAAGGCUUCGGCCUUAGUGGCGCACGGGUGCGUAACGCGUGGGAAUCUGCCCUUUGGUUCGGAAUAACAGCUGGAAACGGCUGCUAAUACCGGAUGAUGACGAAAGUCCAAAGAUUUAUCGCCAGAGGAUGAGCCCGCGUUGGAUUAGGUAGUUGGUGGGGUAAAGGCCUACCAAGCCGACGAUCCAUAGCUGGUCUGAGAGGAUGAUCAGCCACACUGGGACUGAGACACGGCCCAGACUCCUACGGGAGGCAGCAGUGGGGAAUAUUGGACAAUGGGCGCAAGCCUGAUCCAGCAAUGCCGCGUGAGUGAUGAAGGCCCUAGGGUUGUAAAGCUCUUUUACCCGGGAAGAUAAUGACUGUACCGGGAGAAUAAGCCCCGGCUAACUCCGUG